AUAGAAUUUGAACAUUUGCUUCCAUAAAUGCUCUGACCAGUUUAAUAUGUGACACGUUCUCUAUCUAAGAACUCCCUAUUCAAUGGAUUUUUGGAGCAGGGAGACGGAAUAGGAGCUUGCUCUGUCCACUCCACGCACCCCCCCCCGGCAUUGCAGUGCUUCUAGGAAUGGUGCACCUCCC
rnacentral:snRNA from 1 species